AGCUGACACCGAUGCCUCGCAGCUGACAGAGGUGCGGGCCCCACAUCCUCGAGGCUCCUCUCUCGGAAGCAGUAAUUCAGGCUCCGAGACAACGAGUCCCCACUAACAGGGGGCUCCCAGCCCCGCCCAGCCCCGCCUCGCCCCGCACUUACAAUGGGCGCACGCAUCUUCCCUCGCGGUGUGGACCCUCAAGGCCAGGCUCGAUUUCGCUGCGUAGAUGUCUGAGGCAGGGGGAGCAGGGAUUUAUUGUCAUUAACAGGAAACUGCGUCUCCAGACCCCACGGGACUGCGGCUUCUGUUGGGCAGGGCGUGAGAGGCGCGCCUCGGACCCCAGGAACAACCACCUCGCUCCCUUUAACAACUUUCUCGCCGGGGCCCGGCGGGCGCCCAGGAGGCUGCAGGUGCCAGCGGGCGGCUCGGCAGGCUAGUCUACACCCGCCCUACCCAAUUAGAUCUCUUCCUCGCGGAAGGGGAGAAGCAUCCCAGGCACCUCGCCCGGCCUUAUCGCACCCUUCCAGGAAGACCCGAUCCACCCACCUCGCGGUCUCGGAGGCAGCGCUGCAGCCCCAGCAAUUGGACCGGGUCUAAUGGCCGCGGUGGCCGGGCCGGCGUGAGGUCACCCGGCCCCUCCCCGCGCCGCCGGCUAAUGAGAGCCUCGCAGAGCGCCCGGCCCCGGUCCCGAGCCCGGCGACUGCAGGACGCCCGCGCCCCCGGCACCGCCUCUUCCCGCCUCACCCAUGCCCUGCGCGCCCAGCAUCCAGGAGUCGCACACACUCGACCUCUGCACACACAUCACACUGCAGGGCCAUGAUGGGUUUACUUUCGCCUUCACUCAAGAAUGGGCUUAUAGUUUAAAAACUGAAGGAGUUAAAAAUAUACCACCAAGGGCCGGGCGCGGUGGCUCACGCCUGUAAUCUCAGCACUUUGGGAGGCCGAGGCGGGCAGAUCACGAGGUCAAGAGAUCGAGACCAUGCUGGCUAACACGAUGAAACCCCGUCUCUACUAAAAAUGCAAAAAAUUAGCCGGGCGUGGAGGCAUGCGCCUGUAGUCCCAGCUACUCGGGAGGCUGAGGCAGGAGAAUCACUUGAGCCCGGGAGGUGGGGGUUGCAGUGAGCCAAGAUCGCGCCACUGCACUCUAGCCUGUGCAACAAAGCGAAACUCAGUCUCAAAAUAUAUAUAUGUGUGUAUAUAUAUGUAUAUAUAUGUGUAUAUAUAUGUGUGUAUAUAUGUGUGUAUAUAUGUGUAUAUAUGUGUAUAUAUGUGUGUAUAUAUGUGUGUAUAUAUGUAUAUGUGUAUAUGUGUGUAUAUAUGUGUAUAUAUGUGUGUAUAUGUGUGUAUAUAUAUGUGUGUAUAUAUGUGUGUAUAUAUAUGUGUAUAUAUGUGUAUAUAUGUGUAUAUAUGUGUGUGUAUAUAUAUGUGUGUAUAUAUGUGUAUAUAUGUGUAUAUAUAUGUGUGUAUAUAUGUGUGUAUAUAUGUGUGUAUAUAUGUGUGUAUAUAUGUGUGUAUAUAUAUGUGUGCAUAUAUAUGUGUGUAUAUAUAUGUGUAUAUAUGUGUGUAUAUGUGUGUGUGUGUGUGUGUGUGUGUAUAUACACACCACCAUGGCAUAUUGGCUGUUUUGAAUUAAAGGCAUUUAAAACUCAGCAGGUGCAAGAAGACCCCUUUUCUGUGUCUUAAAAGCAGAUGAAAUUUCCAUGUUGAAGGACACCUUCCUUAUACUAGAAGAAAAAGCAACAUCCUUAUCCUCAAAGAGGAGAUGUUGAGACGGAAAGAAUUCUGUACAGACCUUGUUGAAAUAACUUUUUUCAUUUUUUACUUUUUGGGGUUUUUUGUUUUUUUUUUUUUGAGACAGUCUCACUCUGUCACCCAGGCUGGAGUGCAGUGGCUCUAUCUCAGCUCACUGCAACCUCUGCCUUCCGGGCAAGCGAUUCUCCUGCCUCAGCCUCCGGAGUAGUUGGGAUUACAGACGUGCACCACCGCGCCCAGCUAAUUUUUGUAUUUUUAGUAGAGACAGGGUUUCAGCAUGUUGACCAUGCUGGUCACGAACUCCUGGCCCCAAAUGACCCACCUGCCUCAGCCUCCGAAAGGGCUGGGAUUACAGGCGUGAGCCACCACUCGGCCCAUUUUUUACUUUUUAAUUGACAAAAAUUGCCACGUAUUUGUCAUGUACAACAUGUUGUUUUGAAAUAUGUAUACAUUGUGGAAUAACUAAAUCGAGCUAAUUAACAUAUGCAUUACCUCACAUACUUCUUUUGUGGUGAGAACACAAAACCUCUCCGUAAUUUUCAAGAACAUAGUACAUUGUUAUUUACUAUAAUCACCAUGUUGUGCAAUAGAUCUGGUGAACUUAUUCCUCUAUUCCUCCUAACAGAAAUUUUGUACCCUUUGACCAACAUCUCCCUGACACCCCCCUGUUCCCCCCAACCGCCGUAACUGCCAUUCUACUCCCUACUCGUGGGUUCCAUUUUUUUAGAUUCCAUAUAUAAGUGAGAUCACAAAGUAUGUGUCUUUCUGUGCCUGGCUUAUUUCACUGAACGUAAUGUUCUCCAGGAAAAUAACUGUUAUCUGGGAAACUGCAUUUAAAGGGAAGCUGUUUGCAAUGCUUCUUUGCACACAAGGAACAGAAUCCACAAAGUUCACAACAAGGAACAGAAACCACAAAUUUCACAACAUGACAACAUUCAAAAUGGGAGUAUGUCUCAAGUGCUCCACCAGCCAGCUGAAUGCAGGGUUUUCACAGGUGUAAAACAUGUGACUAUGCCAAUUUUGAUAGUUUCCUCUGACCAGAAAAAUCAGGCUUUUAUGAAAGAAACCAAAAGUGAAGUAUAACUUCCUUCUGAAUCCCCUUUGAAACCCAAGUCCUACUGAAGAGGAAAGAGAACAAAUCCCUAUUGAAAUGCCCUGAAGAGCUUCCACUGCCUAAAUGUGCAGCAUAACCAUCUCUACCUUCUCUUUAAAAAAAACAUUCUAGAGGCUGGGCACGGUGGCUCACGCCUGUAAUCCCAGCACUUUGGGAGGCUGAGGCGGGCGGAUCAC
rnacentral:lncRNA from 1 species